UGCUGUACUCUGUGCAGACCCCAGUGUGA
rnacentral:piRNA from 1 species